rnacentral:rRNA from 1 species
CCUACGGGUGGCUGCAGUGAGGAAUAUUGGUCAAUGGGCGAGAGCCUGAACCAGCCAAGUCGCGUGAGGGAAGACGGUCCUAUGGAUCGUAAACCUCUUUUGCCGGGGAGCAAAAAGCGGUACGCGUCCCGCAUCGAGAGUACCCGGAGAAAAAGCAUCGGCUAACUUCGUGCCCGCAGCCGCGGUUAUACGGAGGAUGCGAGCGUUAUCCGGAUUUUUUGGGUUUAAAGGGUGCGCAGGCGGCGCGUUAAGUCAGCGGUAAAAUUUCGGGGCUCAACCCCGACAAGCCGUUGAAACUGGGUGGCUAGAGUGGGCGAGAAGUAUGCGGAAUGCGUGGUGUAGCGGUGAAAUGCAUAGAUAUCACGCAGAACUCCGAUUGCGAAGGCAGCAUACCGGCGCCCUACUGACGCUCAGGCACGAAAGCGUGGGUAUCGAACAGGAUUAGAUACCCUUGUAGUC